UACAGAGGUGGCAAGCGUUGUUCGGAAUUACUGGGCGUAAAGGGCGCGUAGGCGGUUCGUUAAGUCCUGUGUGAAAUCCCCCGGCUCAACUGGGGAACUGCACAGGAAACUAGCGGGCUUGAGUUCGGGAGAGGGAAGCGGAAUUCCGGGUGUAGCGGUGAAAUGCGUAGAUAUCCGGAGGAACACCGGUGGCGAAGGCGGCUUCCUGGACCGAUUACUGACGCUGAGGCGCGAAAGCUAGGGGAGCAAACGGG
rnacentral:rRNA from 1 species